rnacentral:rRNA from 1 species
GCACUGUAGUCAGAGUUUGAUCCUGGCUCAGGACGAACGCUGGCGGCGUGCUUAACACAUGCAAGUCGAACGAAGGGAAGUGGGAGCUUGCUCCUAUGGAACUUAGUGGCGAACGGGUGGGUAACGCGUAAUCAACCUGCCCUUCAGAGGGGGACAACAGAUGGAAACGUCUGCUAAUACCGCAUACGUUCUUGUUAUCGCAUGAUGAUGAGAAGAAAGGUGGCCUCUUGAAAAAGCUACCACUGAAGGAGGGGAUUGCGUCUGAUUAGCUAGUUGGAGGGGUAACGGCCCACCAAGGCGGUGAUCAGUAGCCGGUCUGAGAGGAUGAACGGCCACAUUGGGACUGAGACACGGCCCAA